AUACUUUUCUCGGCCGUUUGGUUAAGAUCAAGUGUAGUAUCUGUUCUUAUCAGUUUAGUAUUUAAUAUAUGGGUCCUCGGCCCACACGAUAUUAACUUUAUUUUUUAAGGGAAGAAAGCCGUUAAGAUAGUUUGCUAUCUGGAUUUCCACGAGUCGUCCAUGCGCUGCACUGCUGCACGGGCCUGGCUCAUCCCGC
rfam:Brassica rapa chromosome A6, whole genome shotgun sequence.